CCCAGGCAGCACCUAAUGGACUCUAGGCAAGCAGUCUUCCACUGAGCUAUGUCCCCAGCACAAGGGAGAGUGUUUUUAAGGAAACAAAGAUGCUUCACAAAGAUCUGGAUCCAUGCACUGGAAAUCUGACCCCAAAAUCCUCUAUCUUGGGCCUGGGAUUUAGCUCAGUGGUUCUGCCACCUGCCUAGCAAGCGCAAGGUCCCGAGUUCAAUCUCCGGUACCAAAAAAAAAAAAAAAAUCCUCUAUCUGAUCUCAACUUUCCUGUGUGUCUACUUCACAUUCUGUUCUUUUCCUCUUCUUUAUCUUAUCCUCUGUCCUCUCCACUUUGUCCCCUCUUCUCUAUUCCUUCCUCUCUUCUCUCCUCCAGUCUCCCUUCCUCUCCUCCACCCUCAGCUUUUGUAAAGAAACAUGGCUUCCCUACAGCUCUUACAUUUACACAUUGCCGUGCUACCCAUAUAAGGAACUAAUUCUCCAACUCUCCUUCUGAAUUUCAGAUUACUAGCAGAAAAGAAUCUUGUUAACCCACCUGAAGACCCACUCAGUUAUGACCAGGAAGAGAUCAAACUCAGGACCUUGUGCUUGUGAUGCAGAUGGUGGAACCACUGAGGUAAAUCCCCGGCGCUUCGAUUGAAGAAGCAACUUCCUGCCAGCAGCAAGCAGCUUUCGGUGGAGGCUGGAGUCAUGUCUAUGCUGACCUACUUGUCAGAGGCCAGGCAGGAGUGUGCCGAAGGCCUAGGGACUGACAUCUUAGGCUCGCAGCCCGCAGAGAGCCAAGAGGAGAGCCUCUUUCACUGAGGUGCCCACAGUGACAUCAGAAGCUUGCUCCUCAGCCAACACUAGCAAGGCUGUGCAUGUGAGCAGCCUGGCUCCAGAACUGCUCCUGGCACGGGUUGGAAUCACUGGGCAGUAAAGCAAACUGGGACUCUCUCUAGACUUAUUUUGAAAGAAAGAACUUAAGGCCAAUCUUCCACCCAUCCUGAAGCUUGACUUUUGGCUCAAGGAGCUUCCUGUCUUGUUCCAGCUGUGACAUGUUGAAAGUAGACCUGGAAAUUUCAGACAAUUUUCUAUACUCUGUGAGCCUUUGCUGUGGCUCUAGCCCUUUGGAUUUUAGGAAAUAGGAUAGAUGGAGAGGAAAUGGGGUUAGGCCCUGAUAGGAAGAGAGAAUGGGGCCUUCUCAGGAUUCUUUUCUACUCCUUUGCUGUUCACAUCAUCUAAGAGAACAAAUUGCCUUGCCUACAUAUGUUUAAUCCAACUCUGCUCACAGGGAGGUAAUUGGGAAGGAGAGGCCUGGGUUGGGUGGGACAAAGAGCUUGUCAUAUCCUUGAUAACAGUGCACAAACCUGGAAGUUGAAUUCGAGAAACUAUUAUCUUAGCAGAAUUGCUGAAACCAGAGACAGAAGUUGAUUACAAUAGAGAUGAUCCAUUUUUCAUUAAGCUAUCAAGUAGGGCUGGGUAUGUAGCUCAGUGGUAGAGCACAUUGCCUAGCAUACACAAAGUUCUGGAAUCAAUCCUCAGAACUACUAAAAUGUAAAAUAAAUAAAUAAAAUAAAAUAAAAUAAAUUUAAAAAAUAAAAUAAAUCAUUAAGCUUUUUUAAAAUUAAAAAAUUGGUCAUCAUGCCCUUCUGUCCCAAUAUCAUCUAGCUAUAUCAUCUAGUGGCAGCUGAAGUAACUCCUGGCCCUUGCUAAAGAAAUAGACCCAGCUGCCAUGUUUUGCAUCAUGUGAUCCUGGUCUUGAUUUCCUAGCUGAUUGGACCAGAGUUGGGCACCUGAUUCAAGGGCAGUCAGUCCAUAGAUCGGCUAGAUUCCUAGGACCCAUAGUGAGAUGUAAAGAUACACUGGGCCAGUCAGAGUCUCAGUCUCUGUUUCUCUCUCUCUCUCUCUCUCUCUCUCUCUCUCUCUCUCUCUCUCUCAAACAGA